GACGAACGCUGGCGGCGUGCUUAACACAUGCAAGUCGAACGGAAAGGCCCUGCUUUUGUGGGGUGCUCGAGUGGCGAACGGGUGAGUAACACGUGAGUAACCUGCCCUUGACUUUGGGAUAACUUCAGGAAACUGGGGCUAAUACCGGAUAGGAGCUCCUGCUGCAUGGUGGGGGUUGGAAAGUUUCGGCGGUUGGGGAUGGACUCGCGUCUUAUCAGCUUGUUGGUGGGGUAGUGGCUUACCAAGGCUUUGACGGGUAGCCGGCCUGAGAUGGUGACCGGCCACAUUGGGACUGAGAUACGGCCCAGACUCCUACGGGAGGCAGCAGUGGGGAAUAUUGCACAAUGGGCGGAAGCCUGAUGCAGCCACGCCGCGUGCGGGAUGACGUCCUGCGGGUUGUAAACCGCUUUCGCCUGUGACGAAGCGUGAGUGACGGUAAUGUGUAAAGAAGCACCGGCUAACUACGUG
rnacentral:rRNA from 1 species